UGUAUGUAAAUCCUGCAACGGCGAGCGGAUUAUUUUGGGAGCCAAGCGCCCGUAAUCCUCUCUUCUCUCCUUCAUCCUGCUGAAAGCUCUCUCCCCUUCUCUUCUUUCCAACGGCCUCUAAGCCCCCUCUCACUCUUUAGCUCGGCCCUCCCCGUAUCCUGUAAUCUGGUUUGGUUUCGAGCUUCACCUGCCGAAAGGUUCACGUCAAUAGCUCUUGCUUCCAUGACAACAAGCGUGCAGGGCCCCUGACCCCGUGCCGCGUCUGCUAUGAAUCAUCGGGCCGGCCGGAGCGUACGCUCAAGUCCAGGAUCAAUGUUUUGAGGACCUUUGAC